GCGCCGGUAGUUCAACGGUCAGAAUAGUUGUUUUCCAUACAGUUGACCCGUGUUGGACUCCCGUCCGACGCA